rnacentral:tRNA from 1 species
GCCGGGGUAGCCUAGCCUGGUUAUGGCGCCAGACUCAUAAUCUGGAGAGUAUGUCUCCCUUUAAAGGGGGCCCAGAAGUCGCGGGCUCGAAUCCCGCCCCCGGCA